rnacentral:rRNA from 1 species
UUAAGCGACUAAGCGUACACGGUGGAUGCCCUGGCAGUCAGAGGCGAUGAAGGACGUGCUAAUCUGCGAAAAGCGUCGGUAAGGUGAUAUGAACCGUUAUAACCGGCGAUGUCCGAAUGGGGAAACCCAGUGCAAUUCGUUGCACUAUCGUUAACUGAAUACAUAGGUUAACGAGGCGAACCGGGGGAACUGAAACAUCUAAGUACCCGAGGAAAAGAAAUCAACCGAGAUUCCCCCAGUAGCGGCGAGCGAACGGGGAGCAGCCCAGAGUCUGAAUCAGCUUGUGUGUUAGUGGAACGGUCUGGAAAGUCCGACGGUACAGGGUGAUAGUCCCGUACACCAAAAUGCACAGGUUGUGAACUCGAAGAGUAGGGCGGGACACGUGGUAUCCUGUCUGAAUAUGGGGGGACCAUCCUCCAAGGCUAAAUACUCCUGACUGACCGAUAGUGAACCAGUACCGUGAGGGAAAGGCGAAAAGAACCCCGGCGAGGGGAGUGAAAAAGAACCUGAAACCGUGUACGUACAAGCAGUGGGAGCACCUUCGGGUGUGACUGCGUACCUUUUGUAUAAUGGGUCAGCGACUUAUAUUCUGUAGCAAGGUUAACCGUAUAGGGGAGCCGCAGGGAAACCGAGUCUUAACUGGGCGUUAAGUUGCAGGGUAUAGACCCGAAACCCGGUGAUCUAGCCAUGGGCAGGUUGAAGGUUGGGUAACACUAACUGGAGGACCGAACCGACUAAUGUUGAAAAAUUAGCGGAUGACUUGUGGCUGGGGGUGAAAGGCCAAUCAAACCGGGAGAUAGCUGGUUCUCCCCGAAAGCUAUUUAGGUAGCGCCUCGUGAAUUCAUCUUCGGGGGUAGAGCACUGUUUCGGCUAGGGGGUCAUCCCGACUUACCAACCCGAUGCAAACUACGAAUACCGAAGAAUGUUAUCACGGGAGACACACGGCGGGUGCUAACGUCCGUCGUGAAGAGGGAAACAACCCAGACCGCCAGCUAAGGUCCCAAAGUCAUGGUUAAGUGGGAAACGAUGUGGGAAGGCACAGACAGCCAGGAUGUUGGCUUAGAAGCAGCCAUCAUUUAAAGAAAGCGUAAUAGCUCACUGGUCGAGUCGGCCUGCGCGGAAGAUGUAACGGGGCUAAACCAUGCACCGAAGCUGCGGCAGCGACACUAUGUGUUGUUGGGUAGGGGAGCGUUCUGUAAGCCUGCGAAGGUGACCUGUGAGGGUUGCUGGAGGUAUCAGAAGUGCGAAUGCUGACAUAAGUAACGAUAAAGCGGGUGAAAAGCCCGCUCGCCGGAAGACCAAGGGUUCCUGUCCAACGUUAAUCGGGGCAGGGUGAGUCGACCCCUAAGGCGAGGCCGAAAGGCGUAGUCGAUGGGAAACAGGUUAAUAUUCCUGUACUUGGUGUUACUGCGAAGGGGGGACGGAGAAGGCUAUGUUAGCCGGGCGACGGUUGUCCCGGUUUAAGCAUGUAGGCUGGUUGUCCAGGCAAAUCCGGAUAAUCAAGGCUGAGGUGUGAUGACGAGGCACUACGGUGCUGAAGUAACAAAUGCCCUGCUUCCAGGAAAAGCCUCUAAGCAUCAGGUAACAUUAAAUCGUACCCCAAACCGACACAGGUGGUCAGGUAGAGAAUACCAAGGCGCUUGAGAGAACUCGGGUGAAGGAACUAGGCAAAAUGGUGCCGUAACUUCGGGAGAAGGCACGCUGGUGUGUAGGUGAAGUCCCUGCGGAUGGAGCUGAGACCAGUCGAAGAUACCAGCUGGCUGCAACUGUUUAUUAAAAACACAGCACUGUGCAAACACGAAAGUGGACGUAUACGGUGUGACGCCUGCCCGGUGCCGGAAGGUUAAUUGAUGGGGUUAUCCGUAAGGAGAAGCUCUUGAUCGAAGCCCCGGUAAACGGCGGCCGUAACUAUAACGGUCCUAAGGUAGCGAAAUUCCUUGUCGGGUAAGUUCCGACCUGCACGAAUGGCGUAAUGAUGGCCAGGCUGUCUCCACCCGAGACUCAGUGAAAUUGAACUCGCUGUGAAGAUGCAGUGUACCCGCGGCAAGACGGAAAGACCCCGUGAACCUUUACUAUAGCUUGACACUGAACAUUGAGCCUUGAUGUGUAGGAUAGGUGGGAGGCUUUGAAGCGUGGACGCCAGUCUGCGUGGAGCCAACCUUGAAAUACCACCCUUUAAUGUUUGAUGUUCUAACGUUGGCCCCUUACCGGGGUUGCGGACAGUGUCUGGUGGGUAGUUUGACUGGGGCGGUCUCCUCCCAAAGCGUAACGGAGGAGCACGAAGGUUAGCUAAUCCUGGUCGGACAUCAGGAGGUUAGUGCAAUGGCAUAAGCUAGCUUGACUGCGAGCGUGACGGCGCGAGCAGGUGCGAAAGCAGGUCAUAGUGAUCCGGUGGUUCUGAAUGGAAGGGCCAUCGCUCAACGGAUAAAAGGUACUCCGGGGAUAACAGGCUGAUACCGCCCAAGAGUUCAUAUCGACGGCGGUGUUUGGCACCUCGAUGUCGGCUCAUCACAUCCUGGGGCUGAAGUAGGUCCCAAGGGUAUGGCUGUUCGCCAUUUAAAGUGGUACGCGAGCUGGGUUUAGAACGUCGUGAGACAGUUCGGUCCCUAUCUGCCGUGGGCGCUGGAGAAUUGAGGGGGGCUGCUCCUAGUACGAGAGGACCGGAGUGGACGCAUCACUGGUGUUCGGGUUGUCAUGCCAAUGGCACUGCCCGGUAGCUAAAUGCGGAAGAGAUAAGUGCUGAAAGCAUCUAAGCACGAAACUUGCCCCGAGAUGAGUUCUCCCUGAGACUUUAAGUCUCCUGAAGGAACGUUAAAGACGAUGACGUUGAUAGGCCGGGUGUGUAAGCGCAGCGAUGCGUUGAGCUAACCGGUACUAAUGAACCGUGAGGCUUAACCUU